rnacentral:rRNA from 1 species
UACGGGGGGGGUAAGCGUUGUUCGGAAUUACUGGGCGUAAAGGGCUCGUAGGCGGCCAACUAAGUCAGACGUGAAAUCCCUCAGCUUAACUGGGGAACUGCGUCUGAUACUGGAUGGCUUGGAUUUGGGAGAGGGAUGCGGAAUUCCAGGUGUAGCGGUGAAAUGCGCAGAUAUCGGGAGGAACACCGGUGGCGAAGGCGGUUCUCUGGGCCGAUACUGACGCUGAGGAGCGAAAGCGUGGGAGCGAACAGG